GUCACACCCGCCAUGAGCCCUAUAUAUUGAUCAGGUAAUCGGUAUGAAACACGUCAUACAGCAUUUGAUACAAUGAUAAAGUUGUAUUGGCAAACUAGAUUGUUAUAACGACCAUAUAAUUUGCAAAAUACUUACUUUAAACGAGACUGUUGACACCCCUGCACCAUCAACUUGUUUGUCAGUACCUUGCCUUGAUUUAAAAACUUAUCAUACACAGAACAAUCUAUUGUGUAUCGAAUCAGUUGAGAGAUAUCAACACCAUAUGCAGGUGAUAAUGAGAUAUUGCUACAUAAAUGGAAGUUGACAAUGGAAAAGUUGAAAUCAUCCCGUUUGUCAUAAAGUUGAGUUGUUAGUUUACUGUUAAUAUCUAUUUUCAAUACAAUAUCUAAGAAUGGAGCAGACGUGGACGAUUCUGUGGUGUCUUUUAUUUCGAGUUCACAAGGAUAUAUCGAAUCGACAUAUGAAUGAAAAUUAUGAUCGUUAAUAGAUAUAACAUCGCCGAUAUAUCUAAAUCUCCCCUUCAAGGCCACAGCAAGAGAUUUUUUCUUCUCACGUUGAACGUUUUUAAUAAUUUCUGCUUUCAUAAGAAUAUUUAAACAGGUCAGCUAAAAACGUAGCACAAUUCGUGCACAUGAGAAUUCCAACAGACUGUGUGAAGACCUGAUCACCAAAGACUACGAAGAUAUUGUCAAUGAGGAACUCCAGCAUGUUUUUUUAAUAUUUCAACUUCAGAGUACUUGUGCAUGGAAUCAGAGCUGCGUUUAACAAAGUAAUUUUUUGGAUGACUGAUCACUAGAUAUGAAUAUUUCCGUUUUCCAUUUUUGUGAAGAAGCAACUGUCUAUGAUGUCAAAAUGUCUAGUCUUUAAUUCAUCGGAAGGAACGGACGUAUAAAGUGUUGAAAAGUCAUACGUUUUGUUGAUUUGAGAAAAGCUUUGCAAAUUGAAGUUUACUAAAAGUUUUUUAGGAUUAUUUAGAAUCCACAAAUGAUUUACACCAAUUCUGGCAUAUAUAUUGGCACAGUACGUUUAAAGUUUUCCUUCAUUUUUUUCGAGAGGAACAAAGAUAGAGGCUUGGUAAAACACUGGAUCCAGCAAUGUAUAUUUGUUUGUAAGGGUUUUUAUGAAGUUUGGAAAUCCAGUAUAGGUACGGUAACUCAUAUUUAUCCGACCCAUUGACUGGGAUAUUAAAUGUGUUAAAAACUGAGGCAUGGUUUUGAAGAAUUUCAUCUUUUGAAAGAGUUGAAGUAUAAGUACGAUUACCAAAAACGGAAUUAAUGUCCUUUGAAAUACAGUGGAAGUAAUAAACCUUACAAACAAAGACAAUGUUGUUACAAGCUUUGUCAGCUGAAACUAAAACAGAUUCCUCAUGUAACAUAUCUAAUUAUUUUAUCACCUCUAGUUUACUAAACACAGAAGGAUAGAUGGUAUGUACUUUUGUUCUGAUAUGUCUAAUGCUGGAUUUUAAUAUUCCUCUUAUACUUUUAAUGCAUUCUGACAAUGUAUCAAGUUCUUCUGUUUCAUGUUUAGCCCACCACCUGGCAUAAUCUUUGACAGAAUUCACAAUAGAGUCCUAUCGCCAAUUCAAAGACCGAGGUUUUCUGACUUUAGGACCUUUUAAGAUAAGUGAUUUGAGGUCCUUAUUUUCAACUAUAUCAACAUCACCAGUAAUGACAUGUUCAUCUGGACUAUAGUUGAAAGAAAUCCUUAUUCAUUAGUCCUGAUCAUUCUUUUUGAAGUUUAAUGACAUAUCAUCAAAAUCAGGUAAAUAGUAACACGUGCUGUAUUAGAAUAUUGCAAUCACCAAAACUUUCCAUGAAGUAGACUGUAUCAUUUUUUCCUUAAAAGGAUUUGUGAGCCUGAUCAGUCCUGAAUCAGCGUCUGGUGUAGAUGAAGAUCUGUAUGACGACUUUUAUGGGGUUAUGUGCAUAGUAACAAUCUGUGGAAGGGACGCACAUCGUUGAACAUUUUGGUAGAAGAACUACAUAUAGAUAAAGGGUUCUACCUUAAAGAGAAGGGAUAGGAAAACAUGACUUGCAUUUGAAGUAGUUGCUAAUGAAACAUACAGUAGUGAUGCAAUCUGCAGCUGAAAACCCAGACGCAAGUCUUGAAACAUUGAGGAAGGAGACAGCAAAAAAGAAAGAGAAAGCAAUGUGCAUCACAUGUAAAGAAAAGCUUCGUGAGAUUCUGUUUCUUCCAUGUUCGCAUUUUCUGCACUGCAGAGUGUGUGGGGAACACGUAGACAAAUGUGAAUUAUGCAAAACACAUAUAGAGUCCCGUCUUCUAUUGAGAAUGACUCAGUUUCCAAAAGCUUCAUGUUGAGCAGUCCCUUACAGCAAUGGCUGCCUGAAUGUUUCCAAACUGAGCGGUCCCUUACAACAGUGGCUGAUUGAGUGUCUUGAAACAAUGUGAGCAAUGUCUAAUGAUACAAAAAUCUUAUAUUAAAAUAAUUCAUAUUUCAG